CAGUCGCCACGGUAAUACAGAGGGUGCAAGCGUUAAUCGGAAUUACUGGGCGUAAAGCGCGCGUAGGUGGUUUGUUAAGUUGGAUGUGAAAUCCCCGGGCUCAACCUGGGAACUGCAUUCAAAACUGACUGACUAGAGUAUGGUAGAGGGUGGUGGAAUUUCCUGUGCAGCGGUGAAAUGCGUAGAUAUAGGAAGGAACACCAGUGGCGAAGGCGACCACCUGGACUAAUACUGACACUGAGGUGCGAAAGCGUGGGGAGCAAACAGGAUUAGAGACCCCCGUAGUCCCUGUCUCUUAUAA
rnacentral:rRNA from 1 species